CACGCCGUAAACGAUGAGUGCUAGGUGUUAGGGGGUUUCCGCCCCUUAGUGCUGAAGUUAACGCAUUAAGCACUCCGCCUGGGGAGUACGGCCGCAAGGCUGAAACUCAAAAGAAUUGACGGGGGCCCGCACAAGCGGUGGAGCAUGUGGUUUAAUUCGAAGCAACGCGAAGAACCUUACCAGGUCUUGACAUCCUCUGACCACCCUAGAGAUAGGGAUUUCCCUUCGGGGACAGAGUGACAGGUGG
rnacentral:rRNA from 1 species